rnacentral:rRNA from 1 species
AUUGAACGCUGGCGGCAGGCCUAACACAUGCAAGUCGAACGAAUGGCGGACGGGUGCGUAAUGUCUGGGCAACUGCCCGAUGGAGGGGGAUAACUACUGGAAACGGUAGCUAAUACCGCAUACCAUCGGAUGGUCCCAGAUGGGAUUAGCUGAGCGGUGGGGUAACGGCUCACCUAGGCGACGAUCCGUAGCUGGUCUGAGAGGAGGACCAGCCACACUGUAACUGAGACACGGUCCAGACUCCUACGGGAGGCAGCAGUGGGGAAUAGUGCACAAUGGGCGCAAGCCUGAUGCAGCCAUGCCGCGUGUGUGAAGAAGGCCUUCGGGUUGUAAAGCACUUUCAGCGGGGAGGCGUUACCCGCAGAAGAAGCACCGGCUAACUCCGUGCCAGCAGCCGCGGUAAUUC